CCAGACUCCUACGGGAGGCAGCAGUGAGGAAUAUUGGUCAAUGGUCGGGAGACUGAACCAGCCAAGCCGCGUGAGGGAGGAAGGUACAGAGUAUCGUAAACCUCUUUUGUCAGGGAACAAAGGCGGGGACGUGUCCCCGGAUGAGUGUACCUGAAGAAAAGGCAUCGGCUAACUCCGUGCCAGCAGCCGCGGUAAUACGGAGGAUGCGAGCGUUAUCCGGAUUUAUUGGGUUUAAAGGGUGCGCAGGCGGCGUGUUAAGUCAGCGGUAAAAAGGCGGAGCUCAACUCCGGCGAGCCGUUGAAACUGCCGUUCUUGAGUGAGCGAGAAGUAUGCGGAAUGCGUGGUGUAGCGGUGAAAUGCAUAGAUAUCACGCAGAACUCCGAUUGCGAAGGCAGCAUACCGGCGCUCAACUGACGCUGAAGCACGAGGGCGUGGGUAUCGAACAGGAUUAGAUACCCUAGUAU
rnacentral:rRNA from 1 species